GCCGGCGUGGUGGAAUGGUAGACACGACAGACUCAAAAUCUGUUGCGAGCAAUCGUGUAAGAGUUCAAGUCUCUUCGCCGGUA
rnacentral:tRNA from 1 species